UAGGAUUUUACCUAAAGUAUUUUCUGCCCAAUGAUUAAAUUUAAAUGGCUGCAGUAUAUUGACUGUACAAAGGUAGCAUAAUAAAUAGUUUCUUAAUUAGGAACUGGAAUGAAUGGAUUAAUGAGAUAUAUAUUUUAUUGUUUUUAUAAUUAAAAUUUUAUUUGUAAGUAAAAAAUCUUAUUUAUAUAUUUGGGACGAAAAGACCCUAUAGAUCUUUAUAGUUUAACUUUAUUAUUUUUGUUUGGAAUAUGUAGUAAAUGAUUUAUUUAAACUAUUUUAUUAGGGUGAUAAUUAAAUUUAAUUAACUUUAUUUUUUUUAUUCAUUAAUUUAUGUAUAUUUUGAUCCAUUAUAUUAAUGAUUAUAAGAGAAAGUUACCUUAGGGAUAACAGCGUAAUUUUGUUGGGGAGUUCAUAUCUAUAAUGAAGUUUGCGACCUCGAUGUUGAAUUAAGAUUAGUUUAUGGGGUAG
rnacentral:rRNA from 1 species